GUCUAGGGCUCUGCUGCACCGAGCAAGCUCAAUCCCAUCGGAACUCGGAAUCUGAGCAGGGUCGGUCCAGGUUAGCGCUUAGAUGAGAGACCACCUAAGAAGACCAGGUGCUGUAGGCA
rnacentral:rRNA from 1 species